rnacentral:rRNA from 1 species
AGUAAUGCUUGGGAAUCUGGCUUAUGGAGGGGGAUAACUACGGGAAACUGUAGCUAAUACCGCGUAGUAUCGAGAGAUGAAAGUGCGGGACCGCAAGGCCGCAUGCCAUGAGAUGAGCCCAAGUGGGAUUAGGUAGUUGGUGGGGUAAAGGCCUACCAAGCCUGCGAUCUCUAGCUGGUCUGAGAGGAUGGCCAGCCACACUGGAACUGAGACACGGACCAA